ACCCCAAGACCCUAAGUUCUCCUACGUCAUUUGACAACCCUAGAGUACCUAGCUAACCUAAUGCCUGAAGAAUCCGCCGCUUUUCCAUAGAAAAGGCAUCAACUUAUUCUUCUUGACCCACCUUCCGAAUCUCUCAAUAAAUUGCCGAAAAACAUAACCACACACUCCUAACCAGUGACCACACUCAAACGACCACACCUCCCUCUCUCCAAUACCAUCGCCACCGUUGGAUUUCAUCACCGGCUAGCCGGAAAAUGUGAUUCAAACCACCCACUUCCCCUCCUCCCUUCAUCCGUCUCCUUCACCCUAAACUAGUUGCCGUCGCAACUCCACCAAAGAACAAAGCCAACUCUCUGGAACCCUCACCUCAUCUAGCUUCCAAGAAAGAAUUCGACCAACAGAAAUCAGAUCAAAUGGCGAAACAUUGCAGCGUCUCGCUCUCCGUCCAGAGAUCUAUUUCCUACUCUUUUCGUGACUUCUCUCUCUUUGUUGCCGUUAUUGUUUGAGUCCAUUUUGAAGCUCGUUCGGUGAGUUUGUUCAAAGUUGAGCGUUGAAGACGUUCGAGGUCAUUGAGUCUUUGUUCCGUUUGCGAUUAUUUUACGGUUACGCAAACAAAUAGAGGGAUUUCCCUGACAAGGGAUGAGCACAAAAGUGUGGCCGAAUUGGCUCAAGAAUUGCAACGUCUUUAUGUGGAUGAACCUGUAAAAUGUGCUCGAAUAUUCAGAGGUGUGGAUUUACUUACCGGAGUUUGAGCAUGAUAGACGCCCCAGGACCAUCUAGUCAGGAUCGCUCGAUCAGAAGUGGCUUAAGGAGAUUUUUUAAUUUUUUAUGUUUUAAGUUUGUUUUUAUUUUUUCGUCGUCUUUCACUUUCUAGUUUUGUACAUUAAUGUCGAGUAUUCCGUUAUGUAUUUCCUAUUUUGUAUCAGAAAUAAGAUGUGUGAUAAAUCAAAAAUCCAAAAAAAAGAAGAGAUUUUGCGUUUUUAUA